GACGAACGCUGGCGGCGUGCUUAACACAUGCAAGUCGAACGGAAAGGCCCUGCUUUUGUGGGGUGCUCGAGUGGCGAACGGGUGAGUAACACGUGAGUAACCUGCCCUUGACUUUGGGAUAACUUCAGGAAACUGGGGCUAAUACCGGAUAGGAGCUCCUGCUGCAUGGUGGGGGUUGGAAAGUUUCGGCGGGUGGGGAUGGACUCGCGGCUUAUCAGCUUGUUGGUGGGGUAGUGGCUUACCAAGGCCUUGACGGGUAGCCGGCCUGAGAGGGUGACCGGCCACAUUGGGACUGAGAUACGGCCCAGACUCCUACGGGAGGCAGCAGUGGGGAAUAUUGCACAAUGGGCGGAAGCCUGAUGCAGCAACGCCGCGUGCGGGAUGACGGCCUUCGGGUUGUAAACCGCUUUCGCCUGUGACGAAGCGUGAGUGACGGUAAUGGGUAAAGAAGCACCGGCUAACUACGUG
rnacentral:rRNA from 1 species